GGUUGAUCCUGCCAGUAGUCAUAUGCUUGUCUCAAAGAUUAAGCCAUGCAUGUCUCAGUACAAGCCGCAUUAAGGUGAAACCGCGAAAGGCUCAUUAAAUCAGUUAUGGUUCCUUAGAUCGUACCCACACUUACUUGGAUAACUGUGGUAAUUCUAGAGCUAAUACAUGCAAACAGAGCUCCGACCGGAGACGGGAGGAGUGCUUUUAUUAGAUCAAAACCAAUCGGCGGCGGGCGCGUCCGCGCGUCCGUUCGCCGCUCUACCUGGUGACUCUGAAUAACUUUACGCUGAUCGCACGGUCUCGCACCGGCGACGCAUCUUUCAAAUGUCUGCCUUAUCAACUGUCGAUGGUAGGUUCUGCGCCUACCAUGGUCGUAACGGGUAACGGGGAAUCAGGGUUCGAUUCCGGAGAGGGAGCCUGAGAAACGGCUACCACAUCCAAGGAAGGCAGCAGGCGCGCAAAUUACCCACUCCCGGCACGGGGAGGUAGUGACGAAAAAUAACGAUACGGGACUCAUCCGAGGCCCCGUAAUCGGAAUGAGUACACUUUAAAUCCUUUAACGAGGACCAAUUGGAGGGCAAGUCUGGUGCCAGCAGCCGCGGUAAUUCCAGCUCCAAUAGCGUA
rnacentral:rRNA from 1 species